rnacentral:rRNA from 1 species
AACGAACGCUGGCGGCAGGCUUAACACAUGCAAGUCGAGCGCCCCGCGAGGGGAGCGGCAGACGGGUGAGUAACGCGUGGGAAUCUACCCAUCUCUACGGAAUAACGCAUGGAAGCGUGUGCUAAUACCGUAUACGUCCUUCGGGAGAAAGAUUUAUCGGAGAUGGAUGAGCCCGCGUUGGAUUAGCUAGUUGGUGGGGUAAAGGCCUACCAAGGCGACGAUCCAUAGCUGGUCUGAGAGGAUGAUCAGCCACACUGGGACUGAGACACGGCCCAGACUCCUACGGGAGGCAGCAGUGGGGAAUAUUGGACAAUGGGCGCAAGCCUGAUCCAGCCAUGCCGCGUGAGUGAUGAAGGCCCUAGGGUUGUAAAGCUCUUUCACCGGUGAAGAUAAUGACGGUAACCGGAGAAGAAGCCCUGGCUAACUUCGUGCCAGCCGCCGCUGUAAUAC